rnacentral:rRNA from 1 species
UACGUAGGGUGCAAGCGUUAAUCGGAAUUACUGGGCGUAAAGCGUGCGCAGGCGGUGAUGUAAGACAGGUGUGAAAUCCCCGGGCUUAACCUGGGAACUGCAUUUGUGACUGCAUCGCUGGAGUGCGGCAGAGGGGGAUGGAAUUCCGCGUGUAGCAGUGAAAUGCGUAGAUAUGCGGAGGAACACCGAUGGCGAAGGCAAUCCCCUGGGCCUGCACUGACGCUCAUGCACGAAAGCGUGGGGAGCAGACAGG